GACGAACGCUGGCGGCGUGCUUAACACAUGCAAGUCGAACGGUGAACCAGAGCUUGCUCUGGGGAUCAGUGGCGAACGGGUGAGUAACACGUGGGCAACCUGCCCCAGACUCUGGGAUAACCUCGGGAAACCGAUGCUAAUACCGGAUACGACCACUUCGGACAUCCGACGGUGGUGGAAAGUUUUUCGGUCUGGGAUGGGCCCGCGGCCUAUCAGCUAGUUGGUGGGGUAAUGGCCUACCAAGGCGACGACGGGUAGCCGGCCUGAGAGGGCGACCGGCCACACUGGAACUGAGACACGGUCCAGACUCCUACGGGAGGCAGCAGUGGGGAAUAUUGCACAAUGGGCGAAAGCCUGAUGCAGCGACGCCGCGUGAGGGACGACGGGCCUUCGGUUGGUAACCGUACUUUCUAGCAGGACGAAGACGAAGUAGACUGUACCUGCAGAAGAAGACACCGGCUAACUACGUGCCAGCAGCCGCGGUAACUAGUCUACG
rnacentral:rRNA from 1 species